rnacentral:rRNA from 1 species
GAUGAACGCUGGCGGCGUGCCUAAUACAUGCAAGUCGAGCGAACAGACGAGGAGCUUGCUCCUUUGACGUUAGCGGCGGACGGGUGAGUAACACGUGGGUAACCUACCUAUAAGACUGGGAUAACUUCGGGAAACCGGAGCUAAUACCGGAUAAUAUUUCGAACCGCAUGGUUCGAUAGUGAAAGAUGGCUUUGCUAUCACUUAUAGAUGGACCUGCGCCGUAUUAGCUAGUUGGUAAGGUAACGGCUUACCAAGGCAACGAUACGUAGCCGACCUGAGAGGGUGAUCGGCCACACUGGAACUGAGGCACGGUCCAGACUCCUACGGGAGGCAGCAGUAGGGAAUCUUCCGCAAUGGGCGAAAGCCUGACGGAGCAACGCCGCGUGAGUGAUGAAGGUCUUCGGAUCGUAAAACUCUGUUAUUAGGGAAGAACAAACGUGUAAGUAACUGUGCACGUCUUGACGGUACCUAAUCAGAAAGCCACGGCUAACUACGUGCCAGCAGCCGCGGUAAUACGUAGGUGGCAAGCGUUAUCCGGAAUUAUUGGGCGUAAAGCGCGCGUAGGCGGUUUUUUAAGUCUGAUGUGAAAGCCCACGGCUCAACCGUGGAGGGUCAUUGGAAACUGGAAAACUUGAGUGCAGAAGAGGAAAGUGGAAUUCCAUGUGUAGCGGUGAAAUGCGCAGAGAUAUGGAGGAACACCAGUGGCGAAGGCGACUUUCUGGUCUGUAACUGACGCUGAUGUGCGAAAGCGUGGGGAUCAAACAGGAUUAGAUACCCUGGUAGUCCACGCCGUAAACGAUGAGUGCUAAGUGUUAGGGGGUUUCCGCCCCUUAGUGCUGCAGCUAACGCAUUAAGCACUCCGCCUGGGGAGUACGACCGCAAGGUUGAAACUCAAAGGAAUUGACGGGGACCCGCACAAGCGGUGGAGCAUGUGGUUUAAUUCGAAGCAACGCGAAGAACCUUACCAAAUCUUGACAUCCUUUGACCCUUCUAGAGAUAGAAGUUUCCCCUUCGGGGGACAAAGUGACAGGUGGUGCAUGGUUGUCGUCAGCUCGUGUCGUGAGAUGUUGGGUUAAGUCCCGCAACGAGCGCAACCCUUAAGCUUAGUUGCCAUCAUUAAGUUGGGCACUCUAAGUUGACUGCCGGUGACAAACCGGAGGAAGGCGGGGAUGACGUCAAAUCAUCAUGCCCCUUAUGAUUUGGGCUACACACGUGCUACAAUGGACAAUACAAAGGGCAGCGAAACCGCGAGGUCAAGCAAAUCCCAUAAAGUUGUUCUCAGUUCGGAUUGUAGUCUGCAACUCGACUACAUGAAGCUGGAAUCGCUAGUAAUCGUAGAUCAGCAUGCUACGGUGAAUACGUUCCCGGGUCU